UACGUAGGGGGCAAGCGUUGUCCGGAAUCAUUGGGCGUAAAGCGCGCGUAGGCGGCCAGAUAAGUCCGGUGUGAAAGUCACAGGCUCAACCUGUGAAUGCCGCUGGAAACUGUCUGGCUUGAGUCCGGAAGGGGCGAGUGGAAUUCCUGGUGUAGCGGUGAAAUGCGCAGAUAUCAGGAAGAACACCCGUGGCGAAGGCGGUUCUCUGGGACGGUACUGACGCUGAGACGCGAAAGCGUGGGGAGCGAACAGG
rnacentral:rRNA from 1 species